CGCACGGGUGCGUAACGCGUGGGAAUCUACCCCUUGGGUUUCGGGAUAACAGUUGGAAACGACUGCUAAUACCGGAUGAUGACUUCGGUCCAAAGAUUUAUCGCCCAGGGAUGAGCCCGCGUAGGAUUAGCUAGUUGGUGAGGUAAAGGCUCACCAAGGCGACGAUCCUUAGCUGGUCUGAGAGGAUGAUCAGCCACACUGGGACUGAGACACGGCCCAG
rnacentral:rRNA from 1 species